rnacentral:snRNA from 1 species
UGUCCUCCAUCGGAGGUCUAUAUUGAGCAGAUUCUUUUUGGUGUUGGGUGGUGGAACCGGAGCUUGCUCCAUCCACUCCAUGCAUUGACCUGGUAAUUGCAGUGCUUCCAGGACCGGUGC